CUUGCAACAAACAUGUAUAAGAGGUAUCGCCUGCCCAGUGACAAUUGUUCAACGGCCGCGGUAUUCUGACCGUGCAAAGGUAGCGUAAUCAUUUGUCUUUUAAAUAAAGACCAGUAUGAACGGCACCACGAGGGCUCAACUGUCUCCCCUGUCUAAUCAGUGAAAUUGAUUUCCCAGUGCAGAAGCUGGGAUAAUAACAUAAGACGAGAAGACCCCAUGGAGCUUAAGACACAAAAGCAUCUGCCCCCCCCCCCCAAUAGUCUUACAGCAGCCAUGACUUUCUGUCUUCGGUUGGGGCGACCACGGAGAAAAAUAAUCCUCCGAGCCGAACGGGGCACACACCACCCCCUAACCAAGAGCCACAACUCCAAGUAAUAGGACCUCUAACGGAAUCUGAUCCAAACUGAUUGAUCAACGAACCAAGUUACCCUGGGGAUAACAGCGCAAUCCACUCCGAGAGUCCAUAUCGACGAGCGGGUUUACGACCUCGAUGUUGGAUCAGGACCCCCUAAUGGUGAAGCCGCUAUUAACGUGUUCGUUUGUUCAACGAUUAAAGUCCUACGUGAUCUGAGUUCAGACCGGAGCAAUCCAGGUCAGUUUCUAUCUAUGCUAACAAUUUUCCUAGUACGAAAGGACCGGAAAAAUGGGGCCCAUGCAUAAACAAGCCCCCGCCUAUUACUAAUGAAAGCAACUCAAUUAGUAAUAGGCCUGCCAAACAACCGCCCUAAUUCAGGGCUA
rnacentral:rRNA from 1 species